rnacentral:tRNA from 1 species
GCCGGGGUGUCGAAAUUGGCAAACGAUCUGGACUUAAAAUCCAGCGCUCCGUAAGGAGCUUGCGGGUUCAAGUCCCGCCUCCGGCA